UACGUAGGGGCAAGCGUUGUCCGGAUUUAUUGGGCGUAAAGAGCGUGUAGGCGGCCUUACAGGUCAGCUGUGAAAACUCGAGGCUCAACCUCGAGACGUCGGUUGAAACCGUAUGGCUAGAGUCCGGAAGAGGAGAGUGGAAUUCCCGGUGUAGCGGUGAAAUGCGCAGAUAUCGGGAGGAACACCGGUGGCGAAGGCGGUUCUCUGGGCCUUACCUGACGCUGAGGAGCGAAAGCGUGGGGAGCGAACAGG
rnacentral:rRNA from 1 species